UGGGUAACCUGCCUCAAAGAGGGGAAUAGCCUCCCGAAAGGGAGAUUAAUACCGCAUAAUAUGUUUAAGUCGCAUGACUUUAACAUCAAAGGAUUUUCUUUUAGAAAUUCCACUUUGAGAUGGACCCCGCGGUGCAUUAGCUAGUUGGUGAGGUAACGGCUCACCAAGGCAACGAUGCGUAGCCGACUGAGAGGNGGANCGCACAUGUAGUAGUAGACGACGU
rnacentral:rRNA from 1 species